rnacentral:lncRNA from 1 species
AAUUUCGAAAAUAAUAAAUAAUAUGUAAACAUACAACAUAAAAAAUGAAAAUACUACAUUAAACAUAUGUAAAAUUACCAUUUUACAUUUAAAAAUAACAAUAUUAUGUAAACAUACAAUAUAAAAAAAAUGGAAAAACUACAUUAAACAUAUGUAAGAUUACCAUUGUUCACUAAAAAAACGGUUUAUCUUCAUAAUGUAACAUUACCAUUUUAUAAAAAAAAAAAAAACAUAAAUAUAACUAUUUGACUAUUUGUCCAAGUUCUUCUAUUAAACAUUGCCGUUUUACAUUAAAAAUGGAAAAAUACGUAAAAAUUUAAACAUCCAUCUUAAAAUAUAAAAUAUAGACAUUAACUAAAUAUAAAGUAUAAGAAAUAGAAAUACUCAAUAUAAAAAAAAGUAAAUAUUCUAAAUAUAUAAAUAUAAGAAUUAUAUAUACAAUAAUAAGUAAAUCCACAAUUUUUAAAAAAUGGAAAGAGUACAUUAAAUAUUAAACAUCUAUCUUAAAAUGUAAAAUAUAGAUAUUAAGUAAAUAGAAAAUAUAAGAAAAAGAAAUACACAACUUAAAAACAAUGAAAAAAGUAUAUUAAGAUUUAAACAUCUAUUUUAAAAUGUAAAAUAUAGAUAUUACGCAAAUAGAAAUUAUAAGAAAAGGAAAUACACAAUUUAAAAAAAUGGAAAAAGUACAUUAGUAUUUAAACAUCUAUCUUAAAAUGUAAAUCAAUGUUAAAAUAUAAAAUUAUUAGUAAAUAGAAACUAUAAGAAAUAGAAAUACACAAUAUAAAGAAAAAUAAAUAAUAAGUAAAUAUAUAAUAUAAUCUCGAAAGAUGACACGUGGCAUAAAAUAUAGUUUUACAUUUUAAUUUUAUUAUUUUCGAAAAUUAUAAAAAAAAUAUGUAAACAUACAGCAUAAAAAAUGGAAAAACUACAUUAAACAUAUGUAAGAUUACUAUAUUUAACUUAAAAAAAAGACGGCUUAUCUCCAUAAUGUAA